GAUGAACGCUAGCGGGAGGCCUAAUACAUGCAAGUCGAGCGGUAGAGUGACUUCGGUUGCUUGAGAGCGGCGAACGGGUGAGUAACGCGUACACAAUCUACCUUUAAGAGGGGAAUAGCCCUGGGAAACUGGGAUUAAUGCCCCAUGGCAUCACGAGACGGCAUCGUUUUGUGAUUAAAGCUGAGGUGCUUAGAGAUGAGUGUGCGUCUGAUUAGCUAGUUGGUGCGGUAACGGCGCACCAAGGCGACGAUCAGUAGGGGGCGUGAGAGCGUGGACCCCCACACGGGUACUGAGACACGGACCCGACUCCUACGGGAGGCAGCAGUAAGGAAUAUUGGUCAAUGGAGGAAACUCUGAACCAGCCAUCCCGCGUGCAGGAAGAAUGCCCUAUGGGUUGUAAACUGCUUUCAUCUGGGAAGAAAAGUCGGGAUUUAUCCUGAUCUGACGGUACCAGAGGAAUAAGCACCGGCUAACUCCGUGCCAGCAGCC
rnacentral:rRNA from 1 species